AGGGUUCGAGUGGGGUUCGAUUUGGGGGUUUUUGUUCUGCUGAAAAUGGGGAUUGGGUUCUCACCAAUUCGAUUGGGGUUUUUUCCUGGCUUGCUCUCUGACCCGGACACAACGCGACCCGGUCAGCGACCGACCAGAACUUCCACGUCCGGCCACCGAUAGACGACGGACGACCACCAUCUUCUUCGUCUUGCCGUCGCCAACAGCCUCCUAUCCUUGGAUUGUCCAUGCACUGAACGGAGAAGGAAACCCGACGACGAGAAGCCCGAACAUUCACCGGCAACCUCUGCAAUUUCCGGAGACCGAUUAAGCUUCAUCUGGUAUGGAAACUCAUCUUCCUGCCAUUCUCUACGUGUUAGGCUAAUUGGUUUUCAAAAUUGAUGGAGUUUUGUCGACUUGGUUUCUCGGUUAGCUCAGGUUCGACGCAGUUGCUACGCCGGCGACUUCUCCGACGCGUCUGGGCUUGGUUUCUGGUUCGACUGCUUCCCUGGAUGAGGCCUGACCUUGAGUGGGAGUUAAACUUCGAAGAUUUCUGGGUUGUAGCACGAGGCAUCAUCAACUCAUCACCAACCCAGUCUCGGCAGCAAGCUUUGGAAAACGAAGUUUCUGUUACAAUACCAGAAACUAGCAAAGGUAAACCCAGAGAAGCAAGCCUGAAAUUGUCGAUUUGAUUUCGUGUGCAGAAUGGGUUGUUUGUGUCUUAGCAUGAAUUGAUUGAAUCGUGGUGUUGGGAGUGAAAUUCAAGUUUGAAUGCGUGUCUGUGCCUUGGUUGAAAUUGGUCGAGUUGGAUUGAAUAGGUUGUUUGCCUUGAGUUGAAUGACUUGUGAUAAUCAAGUUUGAUGUUUUGAUCCUACUGUUAUGGCUGUUGGUUGUUCGGUGUUUUUGAUGACUUUGGUUCAAGACCGUCCUACCAUGGAAUAUGCUAAGAAGGAUUUGCAUACAUAUGCACUUUCAGUUGCAUUACCAUGAAUGAUAUAACUGUCUUUCGCAUGCACAUUAGUAGAUAACGGAUUAAUUUUCUUGAUAUCUGACUUACUGCAUUCCUGCAAUCUGUUCCAGUCUAAUUGGAUUCUGUGGUGCUGGUGUUGAUUGAGAAAGCAGCCGAGAAAGCCAUUCUGCAUGGGGCUAUGGCUGGUUGCUUCUUAUGAAUUAGCAAGCCUAAAGCAUUUUUAGUGGAUAAAUAAGUGGAUGGUGCACUUCAGCAACUCAGCUUCGACAUUUUUCGAUAGCUUCUGCAAGGACCAUAAAAUGAUGCUCCUACAAGAUCUACAGAGAUUGGAAGCAGUUUUAUAUGUUUCAAGAGUACAUCAACACAAUUAAUGAUCUGUAAUAGUUACUGCAUCAAUGUUCACGCCUCACAGGUUUAGUUGCCACUGAUUUUGGAGUGAAACCUACUUUUGCUCUUUGGGUUAAAC